rnacentral:rRNA from 1 species
AGGGUUUGAUCCUGGCUCAGAACGAACGUUGGCGGCGUGGAUGAGGCAUGCAAGUCGAACGCGAAAGCCGCAAGGCGAGUAGAGUGGCGAACGGGCGAGUACCACGCAAUCAACCUGCCCUCAAGAUGGGGAUAACCACGGGAAACUGUGGCUAAUACCCAAUAGCCAUCCGGAGCCGCAUGGCUCCGGCUGUAAGCGAUGGGGAUCCUUCGGGACCUUUUGCUUGAGGAGGGGAUUGCGGCCCAUCAGUUAGUUGGCGGGGUAACGGCCCACCAAGACGAUGACGGGUAGCCGGCCUGAGAGGGUGGUCGGCCGCAUUGGGACUGAGACACUGCCCAGACUCCUACGGGAGGCUGCAGUCGAGAAUCUUCCGCAAUGGGCGCAAGCCUGACGGAGCGACGCCGCGUGGAGGAUGAAGGCCUUCGGGUUGUAAACUCCUGUCACAGAUUAAGAAUUGUUUCAUAUGAACAAUAUGAAACCUGACGUUAGUUUGAAAGGAAGCACCGGCUAACUCUGUGCCAGCAGCCGCGGUAAUACAGAGGGUACAAACGUUGUUCGGAAUCACUGGGCUUAAAGCGCACGUAGGUGGUUCGGUAAGUGCGAUGUGAAAGCCCCCGGCCCAACCGGGGAACUGCAUCGCAGACUGCCGAGCUUGAGAGCGGUAGGGGAGACUAGAACUCCUGGUGGAGCGGUGAAAUGCGUAGAUAUCAGGAGGAAUACCGGUGGCGAAGGCGAGUCUCUGGUCCGCUUCUGACACUUAGGUGCGAAAGCUAGGGGAGCAAACGGGAUUAGAUACCCCGGUAGUCCUAGCCGUAAACGAUGGGCACUGGCUAGAGGUGGCCCUGCGCUGUCUCUGGUGUAGUAAAAAUGUUAAGUGCCCGCCUGGGGAGUAUGGUCGCAAGGCUGAAACUCAAAGGAAUUGACGGGGGCUCACACAAGCGGUGGAACAUGUGGUUCAAUUCGAAGCAACGCGAAAAACCUUACCUGGGUUUGACAUGCUGGGAUUAUGCCAAUGAAAGUUGGCAAAUUGCCCGCAAGGGUGUAGCCAGCACAGGUGUUGCAUGGCUGUCGUCAGCUCGUGUCGUGAGAUGUCGGGUUAAGUCCCAUAACGAGCGAAACCCUUUUCAUUAGUUGCCAACGGGUAAAGCCGGGAACUCUAGUGAGACUGCCGUUGUUAAAACGGAGGAAGGUGGGGACGACGUCAAGUCAUCAUGGCCCUUACACCCAGGGCAACACACGUGUUACAAUGGGCGGUACAGGGGGAAGCUAAGCCGCGAGGUAGAGCAAAUCCCCAAAACCGCCCCCAGUUCAGAUUGUAGGCUGCAAUUCGCCUGCAUGAAGUUGGAAUCGCUAGUAAUCGCGGAUCAGCAGUGCCGCGGUGAAUAUGUUCCUGAGCCUUGUACACACCGCCCGUCAAGCCACGAAAGCUGAGAGCGCCAGAAGUCGCUAGCCUAACCGCAAGGAGGGCGGCGCCGAAGGCGAGCUCGGUGAUUGGGACUAAGUCGUAACAAGGUA